rnacentral:rRNA from 1 species
CCUUGUACACACCGCCCGUCACACCACGAAAGUCGGCAACACCCGAAGCCAGUGGCUCAACCCUUUUGGGAGGGAGCUGUCGAAGGUGGGGUCAGCGAUUGGGGUG